CCGACCCGUACUAAUAAAAUUUUAGUAUGGGACCUAGGAGCGUAAACCCGAAAACCCAAAAAACCUGAUCCAAACGCCAACGGGUACCCGAACGCCCAUGCCUACAAAGAUCUAAAGAAGCAUACAAAUUGUUCAUAUAAAGAGAUCAAGAAGCAAAUAUAAGUCUCAAAGUAACCCACAAAGUAUCAUCCUCAGCAGAUUCUUUGACAUCAUCAACCUUCUUACUCUCAACUUCAUCACCGUCCUCAUCGUUAUCAGUUUCCUUUUGAUUGUCUUCAACUACAGCUUCAGCUGGAGUCAACUUAGACUCAGCCACAGUAGGGAGCAGUUGAAUUCCAGCAAAGGGAUUGGUUGUUGCUACAGGUGGCGCAGCAGAAGGUUCUUUGCACUUGAUUCUGACGAUUCUCCUACUAGCCAAAACCUCAUCACUGACUUUCUUGAAAGUCCCACUCUCAAAGUCAGCUGAAGCAUCCUCAUCAUCAACUGGAUUCUCCCGAGACAGCUGCUUCAAAGCACCUCUCUUUUUAGAAGGUGGCUGCGCGCUUUCUGAGUCUCCCACCUGAAAACUGUUUGAGAGAGUAUCAACAAACACUUAAAGAACACCCUACAAAACAAAAAUUAACAUAAGUAUACUUACACAGAUAAAGAAUAAUUACAAUGCUAAAGAACACCAAAGCUCAAACAUGAUAACAAUGCAACUGAAAUUGCUUAUGCAAAGAAAAAAAGCUGAACUUUUUCUUUCUUUUCUUCAAUCCAACUAAAAGACAGAAACAAAAGAGAGUGUAUAGAUCUACAACAAUAGUGAAUCUGUUAACCUCUAGCUCAAUCUAUAAAAAAACCUAGAUGAAAGGAAGAUUCGACCACAUUUUCGAAUUAGGAACCAAUCAAAUCUAUCACGGAGCUUGAAAUAGAUCGAACAAGUAAGUAGUGAUUUCAAAAACCCUAGAAUCGGAGCAGCUAGACAGACCUAAGACCAUUUCCGAGAAAUUGGGAAUGAGGAAAGGCAUAGAUAGAUUCGACAAUUGACUUUGCGGUUAUGCUAGUUCGGAAAACGUAUUUAAACUUUAAUACUCCCUCCGUUUUUUAAUAUAAGUCGUUUUAGAAUUGUGCACAUAAAUUAAGAAAUCAUUAAUUUUUUAUAUUUUCUAAACAAAAACAUCAUUAAUUAUUUACCUAACCACAAAUCAACCAAUAAUAAAAUAGAAAGUAUAUUAUCAUUGGUCAUAUAACAUUAAGUGUUAAUAAAUUUUACAUAGAAAAUCAAAAACGUCAUAUAAUUUGGAACAUAAAAAUUUCUCUAAAACGAUUUAUAUUAAUAAACAGAGGCAGUAAUAUAGAUAUAACCCAACAUAUUUAAAUUGACUUUGCAGUUAUGUUAGUUCGGACAAUUGUCAUUGGACGGGACAAUAGAGUGCUUAAAAACCCUAAACCAAUAAAAGAAGCAUCCCCGAAACACAACAAUCGUAAAACCUAAACCAAUAAAAGGCCGCCCCAAACGAGAUUUAUUGUUAUACAAAUAACUUGGCUUUCUUCUCUGUAGGGUUAUUUUCUUUCAACUUCAACUUCCCCAUGGCGAGUUCUAGCAAAGCUAAUUCACUGGGUAAGCGAAAGCCGGAAGAUGAUUUGGACACUGAACCGGUUCUGAGGAGACAUAAAUCCGAGGCGAAGGAGACAAAGUCUGAUGGUCAGCUUUAAACUCAGCCAAGGAGACAAUUGAAGGACUUGAUGAAGAUCCAGAUUUUGUUGAGGAAGCUGCAGGACCACCUAAUAAGAAGCUCUUUCUUGAGAAACUCCCUAGCCAAACUGAAAUAUCAGAUGU